UUGCAAUCAGCGUCAGUAUAACAAAAUCAUUUACAACUUUCAACAACGGAUCUCUUGGUUCUGGCAUCGAUGAAGAACGCAUCGAAAUGCGAUACGUAAUGUGAAUUGCAGAAUUCAGUGAAUCAUCGAAUCUUUGAACGCACAUUGCGCCCUUUGGUAUUCCAAAGGGCAUGCCUGUUCGAGCGUCAUUUGUACCCUCAAGCUUUGCUUGGUGUUGGGCGUCUUUUGUCUUUGGCCUCGCCCAAAGACUCGCCUUAAAACGAUUGGCAGCCGGCCUACUGGUUUCGCACCGCAGCACAUUUUUGCGCUUGCAAUCAGCACAAGGACGGCAAUCCAUCAAGACUACAUUUUUACGUUUGACCUCGGAUCAAGUAGGGAUACCCGCUGAACUUAAGCAUAUCAA
rnacentral:rRNA from 1 species